GAUGAAGAACGUAGCGAAAUGCGAUAAGUAAUGUGAAUUGCAGAAUUCAGUGAAUCAUCGAAUCUUUGAACGCACAUUGCGCCCGCCAGUAUUCUGGCGGACAUGCCUGUUCGAGCGUCAUUUCAACCAUCAAGCCCCAGGCUUGUGUUGGGGACCUGCGGCUGCCGCAGGCCCUGAAAACCAGUGGCGGGCUCGCUGUCACACCGGGCGUAGUAGAUUUUAUCUCGCUCUGGGCGUGCUGCGGGUUCCGGCCGUUAAAAAACCCUUUUAACCCAAGGUUGACCUCGGAUCAGGUAGGAAUACCCGCUGAACUUAAGCAUAUCAAUAAGCGGAGGA
rnacentral:misc_RNA from 1 species